GACGAACGCUGGCGGCGUGCUUAACACAUGCAAGUCGAGCGGUAAGGCCCUUUCGGGGGUACACGAGCGGCGAACGGGUGAGUAACACGUGGGUGACCUGCCCUCAGCUCUGGGAUAAGCCCGGGAAACGUAGGGUCUAAUACCGGAUAAUGACUUCAUGACGCAUGUUGUGGAGUGGAAAGCCUUGUGCGGCUGAGGAUGGGCCCGCGGCCUAUCAGCUUGUUGGU
rnacentral:rRNA from 1 species